rnacentral:rRNA from 1 species
CCCUUAGAUGCUCUGGGCCGCACGCGCGCUACACUGGUCGAUGCAACGAGUUUCUUUCCUUGGCCGACAGGCCUGGGCAAUCUUUGAACAUCGAUCGUGAUCGGGAUAGAUUCUUGUAAUUUUUGAUCUUAAACGAGGAAUUCCUAGUAAACGCAAGUCAUCAGCCUGCAUUGAUUACGUCCCUGCCCUUUGUACACACCGCCCGUCGCACCUACCGAUUGAAUGGUCCGGUGAAAUCUCCGGACUGGCGUGAGUCGGAGCAAUCUGACAAACACCGGAAAGUUGAUUAAACCUUACCAUUUAGAGGAAGGUGAAGUCGUAACA